rnacentral:misc_RNA from 1 species
CCCUAUGUCGCUCCGAUUCGUCCCUCCCCCCCACSCCCGAUCCAAUCCCGCACACACACUCCCCCGCACUCCCCUUUCCCCGGCCCCGGCCCUGAGGUUUGAAACCACCCCCGCCACCCGCCGGCUAUGUCCCCCCGACCCUUCGAUGCCUCUGCUGGUCGGGACUCCCCCCCACCCCCGUCCCCAUGUCAUGUCGUCUGUCAAAAAACUUGGCAAAGGCAUGGAAACUUGGAAGCUUCACCCAAGCCACGUGACGCGUGCCACGGGGCCUUGCAUGGUGCCCGUGAGCCAAGCCAAGGUGGCACGGGGCCUUGCUUGGUGCCCACGAGCCAAGCCAAGGUGGCACGAGGCCUUGCAUCGUGCCCGCCCACGAGCCAAGCCAAGGUGCCACGGGGCCUUGCUUGGUGCUCGUGAGCCAAGCCAAGGUGGCACGGGGCCUUGCAUGGUGCCCUCCCGCGAGCCAAGCCAAGGUGCCACGGGGCCUUGCUUGGUGCCCGCGAGCCAAGUCAAGGUGGCACGAGGCCUUGCAUGGUGCCCGCCCGCGAGCCAAGCCAAGGUGGCACGGGGCCUUGCUUGGUGCCCGGGAGCCAAGCCAAGGUGGCACGAGGCCUUGCAUGGUGCCCGCCCACGAGCCAAGCCAAGGUGCCACGGGGCCUUGCUUGGUGCCCGCCCGCGAGCCAAGCCAAGACACGCGAUGCAUGCCACGGGGCCUUGCUUGGUGCCCGCCCGCGAGCCAAUCCAAGACACACGACGCGUGCCAUAGGGCCUUGCUUGGUGCCCGCGAGCCAAGCCAAGGUGGCACGUGGCCUUGCAUGGUGCCCGCCCGCGAGCCAAGCCAAGGUGCCACGGGGCCUUGCAUGGUGCCCGCCCGCGAGCCAAGCCAAGGUGCCACGGGGCCUUGCUUGGUGCCCGCGAGCCAAGCCAAGGUGGCACGAGGCCUUGCAUGGUGCCCGCCCGCGAGCCAAGCCAAGGUGGCACGAGGCCUUGCAUGCUGCCCACCCGCGAGCCAAGCCAAGGUGCCACGGGGCCUUGCUUGGUGCCCGCGAGCCGAGCCAAGACACGCGACGCGUGCCAUGUGGCCUUGCUUGGUGCCCACGAGCGGAGCCAAGACACAUGACGCGUGCCACCUCCCGUGCCACGAUAGCUACAAUGACCCUCGAUAUGGUGCUAGAGGCUGUGCUAGGACACGUGACCCAUGCCAUGAUGCGUGCCACGGCCCGAGGCACGACACGGCUCGCGUGCCACGACCCCCAUGCCAUGGUGCCACGACACCUGUAAUGACCCAUUCCAUGGUGGUAGAGGCUGUGCCAAGACACAUGGUGCGUGCCCUAUCUGGAUUUCGACCCUGAUGCCUUGACAAGGUUCCGGAUUAUGGUCUAUUGCUAAUCACGGAAUGUUAUUAAUCCAUGGAUUCAUGUUGCAAAGGUUGUUCACUAUUUUUUUUUAUAUGGUUUUUUUAAGUAAAAAAAAUUUGAAAUAACUUUUGUUUGGACAAUCCUUGGAUUCUUUUUUAAGAUUUCUUUUUCCCAUAUCAAAUACAAUUUUUAAAAAUAUCUAAAUGAAUUUUUACUUAUUUUCCCCCAUUUUUCUAAGUAAAAAAGCUAAAAAAAAAUAUUUUUUGGCCAAGAGAGCUUCACCAAUCCUUGAAUUCGUCUUCCAUAUAUUUUUCCCAUGUGAAAUACAUUUUUUAAAAAUAUUUACACUAUUUUUUCCUCAUUUUUACUAUUUUUUAAGUAAAAAAUUCGAAAAAAAAAAUUAUUUUUGAGAGAUAAGUUGCACUAAUUCGUGGAUUCCUAUUCCAGAUAUUUUUCCCAUGUGAAAUACAAUUUUUAAAAAUAUUUUCACUAUUUUUUGGUAUUUUUUACUAUUUUUCCCUAUUUUUCCCUAUUUUUCGGACAAAAAAAUUAAAAUAAAUAUUUUCUGGGCCGAAUUUUUUUUUUUUUUUUUCCUUGGGUUCAUAUAAUUAUUAUAAAGAGAUUCAGCAAAAAAAACGGAAUUAAAAACUCUUUUUUCAUUAAAAAAUGGCAUUAUGUCUCCUCAAGCAUGGGUGAUGUCUCCUCAAGGCAUUUCCAAAACGGCCCAAAAUGCUCUUUAAGGGGGGGGUGCUGUCCUCAAUGGGCUGGCAGCACCACCCGCCCAGGCACGCUGCAGCGCGUGCCGCCCUUGGCGUGCAGGCCGCCCAUGCCACCCUAGGCAUGGCGCCCCCGCAUAUGCCACCCUCAAGCCCACGACACGCUAAUGCGAAGAGAGCACGCCCGCGACACUGUGGGGAGCCCUCGCACGCAGCAGCAGUCACCCCGUGACCCGCACACGCUGCACCCCGGACGCGUCCCAUGCCCCCCAUGCGGACACGCCCUCCCCCCCAUGCAACGGGUGCCCUCCCCGCGCACUCGGCCCCGUCCCUCCUCGUCUCGGCUCGACCCCUCGAGCGAGCAUGUUGCCUCGGAAAAACGUGCCAAUGGCCAAAGUCGCGGCUCACCCCGGGGGGCUCACCCAUGCCUCCCGCCCGACGCUGCCCAUCAAAAGGCACACGGACGCCCCCUCCCCCCAUGCAACGAGUGCCCUCCCAGUGCACUCGGCCCCGCCUCGGCUCGCCGAGGAGCCCUCGAGCGAGCAUGUUGCCUCGAAAAAGCUUGCCAAUGGCCAACGUCGCGGCUCACCCCGGGGGCUCACCCAUGCCUCCCGCCCGACGUUGCCCAUCGAAAGGCACACGGAUGCCCCUCCCCCCCAUGCAACGAGAGCCCUCCCCGGGUGCUCGGCCCCCCGUCUCGGCUCGUCGAGGAGCCCUCAAGCCCUCGAGCGAGCAUGUUGCCUCGGAAAGGAGCCAKACGCAUCGUCGCCAUGCCUAUAUCGGUCCUACGAAGGCUUCACUCGUUGCUCCCGUGUGCUGGUCAGGAGUCGCCUCYGGACGAGUCGCGGUUCGACGCGUGAUGCCGUGUCGUAGUGAACCUGAUGGCRUGUGAGUGGUGUUUGGGUCGCGUGGGUCGGCAGGCUCCUUGCUCGUGCAACGAACUGUCGCCGCACCCCCCUCUUCAUUCUAAGCCUCAAGCGCUGCAACAAGCCUUGGGCGUCGYGAUGCCGUGGUUCCUGUGUUGCCUUCCUAACGGAUGGAAUUGUCCCUCGAACGUUGCCUAUCUCCGCCCGGCUCCCGCUCACGCGGUGCGGGCGGACCUCGAAAGCGGUCGCCGCGUCCCAUGGUCGCCCCACGCAUGCGCACGCAUGAGAGGGGUCGAGCAUGGCCCGCGACGGCCGCUCGUGCUCUCGGAUGCGGAACCUUAAAACGAGCGUGGGGUCCCUCGGGAUCCCGUASUCGCUCGAGCUAAGCGUUCGUCGCUAGACGCGUACGACGGCCGUCCCCGUCUUUGCCCUCCCGUCCCGCUCCCCUCGGGGGGCGUCGGUCAGGCGCAUGCGGUGCCGGCGUCGCACAGGAAUGC